UACGGAGGGUGCAAGCGUUAUCCGGAUUCACUGGGUUUAAAGGGUGCGUAGGCGGGCAGGUAAGUCCGUGGUGAAAUCUCUGAGCUUAACUCAGAAACUGCCAUGGAUACUAUUUGUCUUGAAUGUUGUGGAGGUGAGCGGAAUAUGUCAUGUAGCGGUGAAAUGCUUAGAUAUGACAUAGAACACCAAUUGCGAAGGCAGCUUACUACACAAAUAUUGACGCUGAGGCACGAAAGCGUGGGGAUCAAACAGG
rnacentral:rRNA from 1 species